GCGUUCGUUCGAGGGGAGGCGCGCGAGUUCUGUGCGGUGGACUUAUGCUCCCGCGAGGGGGCGUGUCCUUUCUCGCGUCCGCAGUGUCCCUGAGGGUCCGCGUCUACACGCGGCUGUGAGGAAGGAAGGCGCGUGCCGCGUGGGACGGGCUCCACCUGCCUGCGGACAGAUGGAGGGUCACUUUGUUCCGAGAAGACCCAGACACCCGAGGGAGGAUGUGAAACGGAACGACCCGUUUCGAGUAAUAACAGGAUGGAGAUGGAGUUUCAUGACAAAAAUGAAGGUGAAUAUGAUGUGGAAAAUACAAAGAUGGAAGCAACAAGCUAAGGAUGCUGGGGCAGAAAGAUGGAACCUGGGUUACUCAUGACAUCUUGAAACUGCUGCAGCCAUCCUAGACUGGCUGCCUCUAGACUUAAUAUGUUUAGAAAGUAAAUCCCAAUUUUAUUAAACUGUUAUCUGUUAUGUAUAUAUGAACACAUUCUUAGCUAAUAAACUAUCAUGUCUCCUAACUA
ensembl:lncRNA TIPARP-AS1 TIPARP antisense RNA 1